GACGGAGGAUGCAAGCGUUAUCCGGAAUUAUUGGGCGUAAAGCGUCCGCAGGUGGCUGUUCAAGUCUGCUGUCAAAGCGCAGAGCUUAACUCUGUACAGGCGGUGUAAACUGAAGAGCUAGAGUAUGGUAGGGGUAGAGGGAAUUCCCGGUGUAGCGGUGAAAUGCGUAGAUAUCGGGAAGAACACCAGUGGCGAAAGCGCUCUACUGGGCCAUAACUGACACUGAGGGACGAAAGCUAGGGGAGCGAAAGGG
rnacentral:rRNA from 1 species